rnacentral:lncRNA from 1 species
CCCCCCCCCCCCAUCACUACUUUUCUAAUGGUCCGUCCGGUCCCUUAGUAUAGAUGGAGUGUUAUUUUAAAGAUGAGAAUUUCGAGUGUCUAUAGAGUUGAGUGGGACUAUAUAUUGCAUUUUUGGUUGAGUGGGACUAUAUAUUGCAUUUUUGGUUGAGUGGGACUAUAUAUUGCAUUUCAGUUAGGUCUAAUAAAUGUAUAUGAAAUUCAC